CUAUACAGCUUGGAGUAAGACAACAUGCAUAAAGAGGAUGAUGUGGUCAAAAUACUCAUUUGCCUAAUAAUUCUGCACUCCCUGUAUAGUCAUACAAUACCAGGAGCCAAACAGGAUGUGUCUAAUCAAAAAAAUGUAUGUUUGAUUUCAGAAUUAACACCGAAUCUUAAUACAACACACAAUAGGUAUUUCACAAUAGUGAAGAUCAGUGUUCACACUUAUUAUACACUUUAUACGUACAUAGAAAAAUGUCUAGAAGUAUGUGCAGAAAUAAAAAAGACUUUGUAAAUUGCCCUUAGCUUUGAAAAACCUAUCUUUAUAAAAUCAUAUGGCUUUUUAAUGGUUAUAACUAGCACUUACUAUUAACUAGGUAUCGAAAGACACAGAACAGUGGCAGAUACAAAACGUACUGUCAAAAAUGUUGAGAAUAAAAUCAUAUACAGCAAAAAGACAGCCCUAAAGGCUAUAGCCUUUAGAUGUCUGCUAAUACAUCCUAUUUUUCUGAUUGAGACCCUAUGAUUUCGAACUUAAAUAUUGUUCUACUGGCAUCUUCUCAUAUUAAGCAAAAUUACAUUAUAUGCAUAAAAGUGCAUAGGUUCCAUAAAUUUUGCAAUUACCCAGCAUAUUCAGUUUUACCUACAGGACUCUCCAAAUAUUACAGGUUGAAGGAAUAGUAUAAUUUAAUAGGCAGACAGCCAUGAAGUAUUAAUAGGUUCAACAUCAGGAUGUAAUCGUAAUGCUAGCCAUGCAUUUUAGCGAAUCAACCUUUCUGGGCAGCUUUUGCCUUGGGUGCUGGAAGAAUCUGAUUAGAAAUUAUCUCAUGAACACAGGAUUUCUGCCACAGGUUCACUACAGGAUGUAAUCACCUACAUAACAGACAUUCUUAGUUACUUUUUUUUUAUCUUUGUUAAAAGAAGGACCACUGUCUGCAUGAUUAUAUUGAGUAAGAGCACUAUUAUGCUUAUUCUGUAUGUUUUCACUUACUGGCCCCAUGUCAAGGAUUGUGGUUUGUGUUCUAAUGCAAGCUCAAGAAAUCUAUUAAAGAGAAACAGUACCCCAGAUUUACAAAUAUGCUUUCUGAUAUGCUUAGGAUCUAAGCAGGCAUCUUAAUAUCUUCUACUACCACCAUGUCUAAAAUUCAUUCAGAAGGCUAUUGUUAUCAUGCUGGGUGAGUGUCACGUGAAAGGUACAGACGUUGCAGUGCCCUAGUUCAUGAUCUUUAUUUUCGUACAGGCAAUGCUUGUCUGCCGGUUUCAGUUAAAGAAAUCACAAAUUACUCGAAGUCUCUUCGAACAGAAUUUAUAUGUUUAUAAGGUGACAACUGCUUUUUCAGCUCGGUGCAAUCAAGAAAUAACAUACAUUUGUGACAUAUUGAAACAUACCAAGAUUUAAUAUCUGGAAAGUCCUGCUGCUUAAACCAUAAAAGGUAUGACCCUAAUACCCAAUAUAUCUUCCUUCAAAGUUUUGGAUUAUUUACUAAGCUGUGAAUUGUGGUGAUCUGUGAACCAGAACACUAGGCUAAAAUUGCCAAAUUAGAGAGAGCUAAACUCCAGAUAGGUUUAGUUAAUCUUUUUGGCCUGAGUUGAACCAUGGUUGUCUCCUUUUCUGUUGUUCCAGAUUUUAUCUUGAACGAGUUUGUUACUAACAGGAUUAUUCGCUAUACUCCGAAUCCAUAGCAAACGUUUGUCAAAGGGUUUAAGCCAAUUCCCUGCUCCAUUCAAUACAGUUAGUAUUACGUGGUGUUAGAUGCCAGACCAUGACAGUGUUAAUCCAGUUAUUCCAUUGAUAUUAUUCAUGGUCAGUCUUCAUAUAGUAUUUAUAAGAUAACAGCUUUAUUUUUACCAUUUGAUUGUCCAGAACAGUAGAAACAUGUUGCUUUGCAAUGCUGGGUCCACAAAGAAGAACUGAAUAUUGUGAUUGUUUAAAAAACCCUUUUAUUGCUACUGUAAAGUGCAAUCUAUGUUGUUUUUGUAUUAAGUGGUGAUAGGGGAAAUUACUUCUUUUUUUUAUCCCAAGGACUCCAAUUUCCUUGUAAAAUAAGACAUUGGGUAAGAUAGAUUAUUAUUUUUUCUGUUGGAAGAAACAUGCAAAAGCAAUUUUCUCCAGCACAGAAUGAGGCAUCCCUGCUUAAUAUUAAAAUUGGUGGAAGACUUUUCUUUUUGAACAAUUUACGGCAGCUGUCACCUGACUUGUCUAAUGAAAUGUGCAAUCUUCGGAAUUCUAACUUUAAAAGGCUAUUUGUUGUCCUUUGAAUGGUUCGUUUUUUUACCAUAGUAAUUUAAAGCUUUCUAUCUUUCAAGAAAGCAUGACGAAGGAAGCAGUGUUAUUGAACAAAUCAUAGAAAGGAUGUAAAUUUUGUACAGUAUAAGAAUGUAUAAAUUGAGCUUGCUUGUAGGAAGAAAACUUUAAAUAAAACUUUAUGUAACAAUUCA
rnacentral:lncRNA from 1 species